GGUCGCUCACAGCCCCGCGGGUCACUCGGGCCCGGGGGUCACUCGGGCCCGGGGGUCACUAGGACCCGGGGGUCACUCGCGGCCCGGGACGUCCGGGGCCCAUGCUGCGCACACCGCGCCGACCGGAAGCAGGAGCGCAGGGCCGGACGCAGAGAGCGCGGAGCGCGCCCCCUCGCGGGCCCGCCCUGGCACUGCCGAUGCCUCCCACCGGUGCGGGACCGCGGGCGGCGCCGUUCAUCGGGAGAGAGACGGAAAGCACCGGGCAGCUGUGGGAGGGGCACCCGUGCCCGGGGUGCACUGAGCAACGGGCAAGGAACGCCCCGGGCACUGGGCAGCGGGCACGGAACGCACCGGGCAAGGAGCGCCCCGGGCACUGGGCACCGGGCACGGAGCGCCCCGGGCUGUGGGCACCGGGCGGCCCCGGCGCGGUAAGCGGGCUGCAGGGCGCAGUCUCGGUGCGGGGCAUCCGUUCGGGCCGGGCCCUGCCCCGAGCUGCCCGGCCGGAGGUGGCGCUGCUGGCUGCGCGCUGAGGGCGCCCGGCCGUGCUGAGGAGCGGCGGGCAGGGCCGCGGGGUCUGUGGCGGCCGCGGUGAGUGAUGCUCUUCAGGACUUUACUGGAGAGAACUUGGACCAGAGGAUCUGGGGGAGGUCCCAAUGUGCUGAUAUUUAUAGGAUGGAAAUGACAUAGGAUGUCUUGUGAAAUUGUUUGAUACUACAGUAUCAGCCCUGGACAGAAUAGUGGAAGGGUUGGCCACACAUUGUCAGAGGGAAUGAUGACUGCUGUUAGCUCUACAGUCAAUGUACAUUUCCAAGAAAUGUAAUUUAUGCCUGUUUGGAAUACCACCAGUGGAGGAGGACACUCUCAAGCUCCACAUCAAGGGAUGCCGAGCUCCACCUGCCUUUUUUUCAGUGGGAGCACUCUUCAUCUGCUCACUACCACAGAGCUCCCGUGCUCUUGCUGCUUUCCCUAUUUUAAGGACACAUUACCAAAUGUAUCUGUUGCAUUUACAUUCAGUGAUUCUCUGAAUUUUGUGAAUAAACAUGGAUUGUACUCAUGGCAUGGUAUUCCUGAUAAACUGACACUGCAUGUGCUGCUGUGUUGGAGGUAUGUCUGUGCUGUUCAGAGACCUUGAAACACUGGAUCAAUUUACUUUUGCUCUCUGUGAUGCCUUAAGUUUUAGAUUUCAUGUUUUCCAGAUUCUGUACUGCCUUAGUGUAUAACUCUGAACUUCAUAUAAAGUGUCAGCAGUUCUCCUCACAGCUCAGUCACACAAACCAAUCCUUUUCCAGCCCAGAACCAAGGAGCUUCAGCCCCAAAAAGUGCAAACAACAGGGAAUUGAGGAGGGCAGUCUGGGAAGAUGGGACUGCAUAGCCUGGAGCUGUAACUGGACAAUUAACCCCGAUAUGGAAAUGGACCAAACUUAUAAAAGUGUAAAAACUCUUGACCCAUCUUGGGUGGAGCCAUGGCCAGGCUCUUGUACUGCCCAAGGUGAUUCCUUUGAAGGCCUUUUAAUAAAUCCUUACUUUAUUCCUUUAACUCUGUCCAGCCUCUGUUCCAGGUCUGCCUCUCUAGGUAUCAUCUGUACAGGCUGAACUGCAGUUUGAGUUAUUGCACGGUGUGGACUUUGAUUCAAAGAGUUACUGAGCAAGACAGAAGCCUUUAACUUUCACUGAGGGAAGCUGAAGUUCCAAAAGUAACCUUUAUGUCUGUAUUUAGGGACCUGGUGUUUGGGGUGCUGUUCCUGCAGCUGCUGUGAUCAGCAUACUCAAGCCUCUCAGAGCUCCAUUUGUAUUUAAGAGAUAAAGACCCUGCCUUGUUCUUCUCUCCAAAUGCACAAGUUACACACUGUUUCACAGUUUCUUUGGUGACUUGAAAGCUUUCAAAAAUCUGUCUCUUCCAUUGUUUCCUCCUCACCUCUGUCUCAAUUCCCUGUCUGUAAAAUAGGGAUAAGAUCAAAUUUCCUACUCCAAGGGGAAAAACAUGAAGGAAAAAAAAAAAAAAAGGAUUUUUUGACACAUCAGAGAGAAGUGAUGUCGGUGAGAUAUUUUUCAGUAGUACAUGAAGAGCUCAUUAAAUGCUGAUCAGUGAUUAACUGAUCAACUUCUGACUUAAACUCUGUUGCUGCUUUUCCAAUAGAUGAUUGUCAGCAGUAGGGCUAUUUCCAGGAGAGUGGUACAGAGCACUUCAUGGGUACAGAUUGGUGUCUGUGUCCUGGAAAGCGGGAAUUACAGGAAUUAGUGAUUGUAUUAGGUGACCAAUAAAGUAGAGGUUCCACUUUAAUGAGACAGCUAGACCAAAAGGUGUUUUGAAGCAUAUAUGAAAAAAAGAAUAGAACUGUUGAAAGAUACCAAUAAUCAUCUAGUUCAACUGUAAGAAGGAUUGGCAUUACUUACGUUUAUUUCAUUAAAAUUGAUUACUGGCACUACGUCAGUGUUGUGGGAUCAGCAUUUCAAACCUCUUUUGGUUGGGAGUUGAAAGGAGUUGUGAUUUGAGGUCACCCCUGUAUUCAGAGAUUGAGGGCACAGAGUCUCUUCAGUUGUAAAAUGGUUGUAAAACUGACUAGUAUGGAUCUACAACAAGACUUUCAGAAAAAGAAAUCCAAUCUGUAAUUGGACUGUGAGCAGAUUUUGUCAAGCUCCCAGCUACAUGAUGCAGCUACUCUGCUGGCAGCUGACAUUAUUUCCUACCAAUUUCCUGAUGUUUCAAGGAUCACCAGUAUUGUAAUGUUUGUCAGCAGACGUAGUGCUGCUUUCCCCAAGUUAGAAUUCCCCAUCCACAUGAUGUUUAAACCAGAAUCACACAUACCCAUUUAUUCCCAAGAGGCUUAGAUGGACAGGAUAGCACAGGGAAAGUCCUUCAGUGUUGUGGCUCCCAGUUCUGCAACAUCUCACAGUUUCAUCCUGCUGUCAUUUCUGCUUCCAGGGUCUCCUAACCUGACACAGACAUCUACUCAGUCUCCAGGGAGUCUCUGGUCUAUGAGUUUGGCCUUACAGCAUCUGAGCCACAAUGUCAUCACCUUGGGGCCCCACACAUGGAUGGCAAGGGAGGAAACAGGAUAAAUUGUGCUGGCCCCUGCUUUCUUGUGGUUUGUCAAAUCCAGGAUGAAUGGAGAACGUUCAGCUGCUUAAGAUCAUAUUUUGCCUUCAUUAAGGAACCACAGAACCUGGAAUGGGACAACCAUCAGUACCAGUGGAGGCUGGGGAUGGAGAGACUGAGAGCAGUCCUGCCAAGCCUGGCGAUACCAGUGGAUGGAGCACUGGCUGUGAGCUGGCAGCCCAGAAAAUCCAUCGGGGCUGGGGCCAGCUCCAGGGCAGUGAUUCUCCCCUUCUCUGCCCAGGUGAGACUGCCUCCAGCUCUGGGGACCAGCAGGAAGGACAUGGAGCUGUGGUGGGAGCCCAGAGGAGGCCACGGAGAUGGUCCCAAGGCUGGAGCCCCUCUGCUGUGGAGACAGGCUGGGAGAGCUGGGGGAGCUCAGCCAGGAGAGGAGGGGGCUCCACCUUGUCACAACUUUUCAAUACUUAAAGGAGGCUUAUGAGAACAACAAAGAUACUUCUUACCAAGACCUGCAGUACCAGGACAUGGAAUAAUGGUUUAAAACUAAAAGAGGGUAGAUUUUGACAUAGCAGAGACGUGUUCACAUAAUUAAGGUUGGGGUUUUUUUUUGUUUGCAAUCCAUGAUGAUGUAACACUGAAUAUUCUUAUCCUUGAAAAACUCUAAUCAUUGAAUCUUCUUGACCCUUUUGUUUAACUGUAUCUUUUAAUUAUAAGAUCUACAAUUGAAACGCACGUAUAACUGUGGGUUUUAUGUUCAGAACUGUGGGAUUUAAAUGACUCAGUGAUGCAGUUGCUAGCAGUCAUAAAUCCCAAACCAACAGAAAGAGUACUGUGAAUUGGACUGUCAUCUUGUAAAACACGUGCCAUAGAACUUCACUGAAUUAUCUUUUUCUUGAUUUAAUAACAUAUAUUAGGGGAAAAAACCCUAACCCACAAAUAAAACCCACCAAAACACAAACAAAAAAUUAAAACAAAACAGAACAAAAAGAAACCCAAAGCAAAGCCCCUCACAAGCAUGCUUUCACUGAGAAGUUACCAGUCGCCAGAAAUUUACAACAUCAUUAGUUAAGUUGCUCAUAUUGUUAAUUACUUCGGCUGUUAAAUUAUGUAUCCUGAUUUUGAGCUGAAUUGGUCUGUCUUAUAAGAUUGCAUCCAGGACAGUUUUGCAUUCUGUUACAUUCAAUCUAAAAGACUGGUAAUUGUUCAAAACACUUUUUAAGAAAUCUUCCCUAAAUAUAUCUACUGCAUUGGAUAUUUACCAAAUAUUUAACCUCUAAUAUGGUAGAAUUGAUUAAAAAUUGUUUCCAUUAUCAAUUGCUGCAGUUAUGUAUGCUCAUUCUGUCCAUUCUGGAAUG